rnacentral:pre_miRNA from 1 species
AUAGGUACCCGAACAUUAGCAUUGACUUGUCUAUAUAAUGCAGUAAGUGCUACUUGUUGGGGUAGUUUUA